GAUGAACUUGCUGCUAAAAGAUGGUCA
rnacentral:sRNA from 1 species